GUUGUUACCGACUACGACGACGACCACGCGACAAUUUAUCGAUCCUCGGACCUAACGAUUACCAAACGGGUGAUAUUCGUAUUUUUCACCUGUCGUUCGCGUGGUCCGCCGUCUUCCUUCCUGCUCCUUUGGGACAUCAUUUUCUUUAUGGAUCAUCCGUUGUGGUGCAUUCAUAGAAUUCUGAUUCCCUUCUAAAUCUGUGGAACACGCGACGCUUUUAUAAUGGUAAAAAUAAUAAUAUUUUGCUACGUCAAUGUUCUGUAGAGAAGAGGAAUUAAAUGGACGUUGGACAGAA